ACAAUUCUUCGGGGCAGGGUGAAAUUCCCUACCGGCGGUGAUAGUCCGCGACUGCAUCUUAUGGUGCACUGACUUGGUGAAAUUCCAAGACCGACAGUAAAGUCUGGAUGGUAGAAGAGUUAU
rfam:Clostridium lentocellum DSM 5427, complete genome.